UACGUAGGGUGCAAGCGUUGUCCGGAAUCAUUGGGCGUAAAGGGCUCGUAGGCGGUCUGUCACGUCGGGAGUGAAAACUCAGGGCUUAACCCUGAGCCUGCUUCCGAUACGGGCAGACUAGAGGUAUGCAGGGGAGAACGGAAUUCCUGGUGUAGCGGUGAAAUGCGCAGAUAUCAGGAGGAACACCGGUGGCGAAGGCGGUUCUCUGGGCAUUACCUGACGCUGAGGAGCGAAAGUGUGGGGAGCGAACAGG
rnacentral:rRNA from 1 species